UAGGCUGCAACUCGCCUACAUGAAGUCGGAAUCGCUAGUAAUCGCGGAUCAGCAUGCCGCGGUGAAUACGUUCCCGGGCCUUGUACACACCGCCCGUCACACCAUGAGAGUUUGUAACACCCAAAGCCGGUGGGGUAACCUUUUGGAGCCAGCCGUCUAAGGUGGGACAGAUGAUUGGGGUGAAGUCGUAACAAGGUAAC
rnacentral:rRNA from 1 species